UGGCUUCCUAUUUCAGCAAUUCAGUCUGU
rnacentral:piRNA from 1 species